UACGGAGGGUGCAAGCGUUAUCCGGAUUUACUGGGUUUAAAGGGUGCGUAGGUGGAUUUGUAAGUCAGUGGUGAAAUCUCCGAGCUUAACUCGGAAACUGCCAUUGAUACUAUUAGUCUUGAAUAUUGUUGAGGUGGGCGGAACGGGUCAUGUAGCGGUGAAAUGCAUAGAUAUGACCCGGAACACCGAUUGCGAAGGCAGCCCACUAAGCAAUGAUUGACGCUGAGGCACGAAAGCGUGGGGAUCAAACAGG
rnacentral:rRNA from 1 species